rnacentral:rRNA from 1 species
AUUGAACGCUGGCGGCAUGCCUUACACAUGCAAGUCGAACGGCAGCACGGGUGCUUGCCCCUGGUGGCGAGUGGCGAACGGGUGAGUAAUACAUCGGAACAUGUCCUGUAGUGGGGGAUAGCCCGGCGAAAGCCGGAUUAAUACCGCAUACGAUCUACGGAUGACAGCGGGGGACCUUCGGGCCUCGCGCUAUAGGGUUGGCCGAUGGCUGAUUAGCUAGUUGGUGGGGUAAAGGCCUACCAAGGCGACGAUCAGUAGCUGGUCUGAGAGGACGACCAGCCACACUGGAACUGAGACACGGCCCAGACUCCUACGGGAGGCAGCAGUGGGGAAUUUUGGACAAUGGGCGAAAGCCUGAUCCAGCAAUGCCGCGUGUGUGAAGAAGGCCUUCGGGUUGUAAAGCACUUUUGUCCGGAAAGAAAUCCUUGGCCCUAAUACGGUCGGGGGAUGACGGUACCGGAAGAAUAAGCACCGGCUAACUACGUG